rnacentral:rRNA from 1 species
AUCCAAGGAAGGCAGCAGGCGCGCAAAUUACCCACUCCCGGCUCGGGGAGGUAGUGACGAAAAAUAACGAUACGGGACUCUUUCGAGACCCCGUAAUCGGAAUGAGUACGCCUUAAAUACUCUAACCAAAGCAAUCGAAGGGCAAGUCUGGUGCCAGCCGCUGCGGUAACUCCCGCUUCGAUAGCGUAUAUUAAAGUUGCUGCGGUUAAAAAGCUCGUAGUUGGAUCUCAGUUCCAGGCGGGCGGUCCGCCUCCACGGCGGUAACCGCACGUUCUGAACACUCUGCCGAUUGCACGUUAUGAUCUUCACCGGUUGUGGCGGGCGGUCGGCGAGUUUACCUUGAAGAAAUUAGAGUGCUCAAGGCAGGCACUUGUGCCCGAAUAAUGGUGCAUGGAAUAAUGGAAUAAGACCUCGUCUCUAUUUUGUUGGUUUUCGGAAAACGAGGUAAUGAUUAAGAGGGACAGACGGGGGCAUUCGUAUUGCGGCGCUAGAGGUGAAAUUCUUGGACCGCCGCAAGACGAACUACUGCGAAAGCAUUUGCCAAGAAUGUUUCCAUUAAUCAAGAACGAAAGUUAGAGGUUCGAAGGCGAUCAGAUACCGCCCUAGUUCUAACCAUAAACGAUGCCAUCUAGCGAUCCGGCUGCGUUCCUCAAAUGACGCGCCGGGCAGCUUCCGGGAAACCAAAGACUUUGGGUUCCGGGGGAAGUAUGGUUGCAAAGCUGAAACUUAAAGGAAUUGACGGAAGAGCACACAAGGAAUGGAGCCUGCGGCUUAAUUUGACUCAACACAGGGCAACCCACCCGGCCCGGACACAGGAAGGAUUGACAGAUUAAGAGCUCUUUCUUGAUUCUGUGGGUGGUGGCGGCAUGGGCGUUUGUAGUUGGGGGAGCGAUUUGUGUGGUUCAUUACGUUAACGAACGAGAUCCAGGCGUGCUAAAUAGUAGUUCCGGCUUUCCGUAGGGCGGCUAAUCUUCUUAGAGGGACAAGCGGGGUCUAGCCGCCCGAGAAAGAGCAAAAACAGGUUUGCAUGCCCUUAGAUGGCCGGGGCCGCACGCGCGCUACAUUGAAGGAACCAGCGUGCGCUCUCCCAGUCCGGCAGGACCGGGUAACCCCUUCAAAUUCCUUCGUGCUGGGGAUAGGAGAUUGUAAUUGUUCUCCUUGAACGAGGAAUUCCUCGUAAGCACGGGUCACCAGCUCGUGCUGAUUGCGUCCCUGCUCUUUGUCCACACCGCCCGUCGCUACAACUGAUUGAGUGGCCUAUUGAGGUCCUCGGACUGGCUCUCGGCCAGUGCCUUCCUGGUACGGCAGUGUCUGCCGGAAAGACGCCCGUUACAGGCUCUUU